rnacentral:lncRNA from 1 species
UGAAAUACACUUUUUAUUUUAAUGGUUUUGUUUGAUAGCAAAAUAUUUUUAUACAUUUCUCUACUAAUAAUGAUGAAGAUGAUGCUGAUGAAUAUCUUUAUAUAUUUUAAUGCUAAUGAUGAUGGUGGUGAUGGGUAAUAAAAAAAAAGAUUAUUUCUUAAGGGAAUCAUAUCACGUGCAAUGCAUGUGCAUGAUACUGGUAGAUAUAUAACCAAGCUGUGCUUAUUUUCCUCCUUAUUUUGGUCCCAGCUUCUAGGAUGCCAUGGAGCUCUUGCACGGCGUGUACCAGGACAAGCAUUUUUGCAGGCAUCCGAAGCUGCUUGAGCUCAGCUACUUUUGUUUGCCAUAUUGAGAUAUGUUAUUGCCCUUUACCAAAACUUUGGUAUCACCUCUCAUUGGCAAGAAGAAAACUCUGUUAUUCUGCUUUGCUUGCCUUAUGUCUUUUAAUGUUUUUGAGGUAACAAGAAAUUUAUUUUCAGUUAAGACUGCUGGCGUGUACCAGGACAAGCAUUUUUGCAGGCAUCCGAAGCUGCUUGAGCUCAGCUACUUUUGUUUGCCAUAUUGAGAUAUGUUAUUUCCCUUUACCAAAACUUUGGUAUCACCUCUCAUUGGCAAGAAGAAAACUCUGUUAUUCUGCUUUGCUUGCCUUUUGUCUUUUAAUGUUUUUGAGGUAACAAGAAAUUUAUUCAGUUAAGAC